AGAAACAUGCUAAGGGUGGGAGUGCUCCUUGGAGAUCCUCGGUCUGCAGUCUGCAGGUCUCCGGAGUCGGGAAGAAGUAAAGAAUUAGAGAAUUGCAGAAGUAGAUAAUUAAACAAGAACCUUUACAAUUUCGAUGUGCAAGGAAACUUUCUUUGGCGUUACUGGCGCAAGGUGCCUUUGGACCUUGUUUUCGUAUGGAAGGGUCAGCCCUGUCCACGUGGCGAGGGGGCGUCAGCACCGGAGUCCGGGGAGCAGCCGGCUCAUCCCUGACAAGGUGUGUCUCCUGCCGUUUCCUGCCGGUAAUGCUGUGUAAUUCAGGUUUUAAUUUCUGUGUAAAGUAAUUUCUGAUUUCAUUUAUUUUGAGAA